ACCUCGGUAGCUAGAGUAACAGUAACAGUAGGUAGAGCAACAGGGCGUAAACCUGAGAGACCUGGGUUCGUAUCCCAGUCGAGGUU